CUCAGGCCACAAGAGAUCUUGUGUGUGCUCUCUCUCUCUCCUUUGUCCCCUCUCUCCUCUCUUUCUCUUUCACCUCCCUUCUCUCCCCCUCUUUCUCUUUCCUCUCUGCCUUCUUUCUCUUUCUCCUUUCUCUCCUUCCCUCCUCCUUCCAGAUCCCUGCUAUGCCAUGAGAACAAAACAUCACCCUACUGGAGGAUGCGAGACACAUAGGCACGUGGAGCAGAGCCAAGUCAACCCAGUUGUCUUGUCCAAGCCCAAGACAUGUGAGAACCCAGCCAAGAUCAGCAAAACUGUGCUGACUCGCAGCUGACUGCACAGGCAUGAGUGAGCCCUGACAAGCUUAGCUCAUCUCAGCAGAACCACCCAGGUGGUCUUUAGAUUCGCCAGCAGGAGCACACUUCUGACUUCUCCCCUGUGACCAGCAGAGAAAUCGCUCUGCUUUUCAUUGGCUCACCUGACCAGUGAGCGAAAGCAGAAGUGUUUGAUUCCCAUGCUGAGGAAAGCUAUCUGAGCUGAGGGCGCCUGGAAGUUACUCCCUCAGAAAUUUCAGGAUGCUCAGCACCAGGAGAAGGUGCUCGCCACAAGAUGGUAGAAGAAAGCCCCAAUGUCUUCUGGCCUCUUCUGCCCUACGGAGUCCUGCCUUGUUGCUGCUGACCACACAGCAAACUGUCCCGGGGUCAGCAGGUCUCAGCUGUGCAGGAAGCACUCCAAACCAGGGAUUCGCAGAGACCACAGCCGUCUUCCAGGGGAUUCAGCAGCUGCGCAGGGUCGAGACGCUCUGAGUGCAUUAAUCAAAGGUUAUUGUUCUCACUGCUCUGCUUGCCGUGUCAGGUGGAUCCGGGACAAGCUGUUGGUUGGAGGGUUUUCUCCUGUGUCUGUCUGUAGACACUCAUCUUCCCAAUUUAUCCUGCAAGCAAUACCUUGCAGGAGAGGAGCAGUCUCCCCCACUUGCCUCACAGCUUUAGGAACUCUGGAGCUUCGUACAAAUGUGUACAAAGUGUAGAGACUCCAGCCAAGAGAGAGAGAUGAGACACAACAAGGAGGACUGAUUCAGAGCAUGAGAGGGAUUCGACCCACCAUUGCUGGCGUUGAAGACAGAGGAAGGAGCCAUGAGCCAAGGAAUGUGGGCAGCCUCUGGAAGCUGGGAAUGGCCCUCACCCAGGAAGGAAAUGGAGAUCUCAGUCCUAUAACCACAAAGAACUCAAUUCUGCCAAGAACCUGAGUGACCAAGAGAAUAGAUAUUUCCCUUGAGCCUCAAGAAAGGAACACAGCCUUGAUACACCUUGACUUUAGCCUGGUGAGACCCGUGUCAAACUUCCGACCUACAGACUGUAAGACAAUACAUUCGUGUUGUUUAAGCUGUUAAGUUUGUGGCAAUUUGUAACAGCAGCAAUAGAAAACUAAUACAGAGUCUUGAUCAAAUAAGUUUGGG
rnacentral:lncRNA from 1 species